UACGGAGGAUCCGAGCGUUAUCCGGAUUUAUUGGGUUUAAAGGGUGCGCAGGCGGAAGAUUAAGUCGGCGGUGAAAUUUUGCAGCUCAACUGUAAAAGUGCCAUCGAUACUGGUUUUCUUGAGUGUGGAUGAAGUAGGCGGAAUUUGUGGUGUAGCGGUGAAAUGCAUAGAUAUCACGAGGAACUCCGAUUGCGCAGGCAGCUUACUAGGCCAUAACUGACGCUCAGGCACGAAGGCGUGGGGAGUCGAACAGGAUUAGAUA
rnacentral:rRNA from 1 species